UACGUAGGGUGCAAGCGUUGUCCGGAAUUAUUGGGCGUAAAGAGCUCGUAGGCGGUUUGUCGCGUCGGCUGUGAAAACUCGGGGCUCAACUCCGAGCCUGCAGUCGAUACGGGCAGACUAGAGUGCGGUAGGGGAGACUGGAAUUCCUGGUGUAGCGGUGAAAUGCGCAGAUAUCAGGAGGAACAGCCCGUGGCGAAGGCGGCUCUCUGGGACGGUACUGACGCUGAGACGCGAAAGCGUGGGGAGCGAACAGG
rnacentral:rRNA from 1 species